rnacentral:rRNA from 1 species
CCUACGGGCGGCAGCAGUGAGGAAUAUUGGUCAAUGGACGAGAGUCUGAACCAGCCAAGUAGCGUGAAGGAUGACUGACCUAUGGGUUGUAAACUUCUUUUAUAUAGGAAUAAAAUGAGGCACGUGUGCCUUUUUGUAUGUACUAUAUGAAUAAGCAUCGGCUAACUCCGUGCCAGCAGCCGCGGUAAUACGGAGGAUCCGAGCGUUAUCCGGAUUUAUUGGGUUUAAAGGGAGCGUAGAUGGGUUGUUAAGUCAGUUGUGAAAGUUUGUGGCUCAACCGUAAAAUUGCCGUUGAUACUGGCAGUCUUGAGUACAGUUGAGGUAGGCGGAAUGCGUGGUGUAGCGGUGAAAUGCUUAGAUAUCACGAAGAACCCCGAUUGCGAAGGCAGCUUACUAAACUGUAACUGACACUGAUGCUCGAAAGUGUGGGUAUCAAACAGGAUUAGAUACCCUUGUAGUC